rnacentral:rRNA from 1 species
CAAGUCGAACGCGAAAGUCCCGCAAGGGAUUAGUAGAGUGGCAAACGGGUGAGUAACACGUGGGUGACCUGCCUUCGAGUGGGGGAUAACGUCCCGAAAGGGACGCUAAUACCGCAUGACAUCCUGCCUUUGAAGAGGUGGAGCUUAAAGCUGGGGAUCGCAAGACCUAGCGCUUGAAGAGGGGCCCGCGUCUGAUUAGCUAGUUGGUGAGGUAUCGGCUCACCAAGGCAACGAUCAGUAUCCGGCCUGAGAGGGCGGACGGACACACUGGGACUGAGACACGGCCCAGACUCCUACGGGAGGCAGCAGUGGGGAAUUGUUCGCAAUGGGCGCAAGCCUGACGACGCAACGCCGCGUGGAGGAUGAAGAUCUUCGGGUCGUAAACUCCUUUCGAUCGAGACGAACGGCCCCUGGGCUAAUCACCAGGGGAGUGACGGUACCGAGAGAAGAAGCCCCGGCUAACUCCGUGCCAGCAGCCGCGGUAAUACGGGGGGGGCAAGCGUUGUUCGGAAUUACUGGGCGUAAAGGGCUCGUAGGUGGCCAACUAAGUCAUACGUGAAAUCCCUCGGCUUAACCGGGGAACUGCGUCUGAUACUGGAUGGCUUGAGGUUGGGAGAGGGAUGCGGAAUUCCAGGUGUAGCGGUGAAAUGCGUAGAUAUCUGGAGGAACACCGGUGGCGAAGGCGGCAUCCUGGACCAAUUCUGACACUGAGGAGCGAAAGCCAGGGGAGCAAACGGGAUUAGAUACCCCGGUAGUCCUGGCCCUAAACGAUGAAUGCUUGGUGUGGCGGGUAUCGAUCCCUGCCGUGCGGAAGCUAACGCAUUAAG